rfam:Psychromonas sp. CNPT3, complete genome.
GGGCGAUUAGCUCAGUUGGGAGAGCACCGCCCUUACAAGGCGGGGGUCAGUGGUUCAAGCCCACUAUCGCCUA